GGAUAUUCAUGGAAAAAAAGAAAUUUGGGAUAUUACUACAAGCAUUUCGAUCAAUCCAAGCAUUCAUUAAUAAUAAUUAUGACCUUUUCAUGCUCUUUUAAAUUAUUUUAUUUUUACAAUCUUUUAAAUAAUUGACUUGAAAUCCAACAUAUGCAAUAGUUAUGGUCUAAGGGCAAUGUGUAGCAAUUACAGCUAAUUCACUACAUGUGGUGGUUAAGUUUGAUCAAACAACACCUAAUCCACUGUAUUUAGUAGCUAACUUUGAUCCAAUAAUAUACUCCAUUAGUAAUUAUAUGUUGUCGAAAAAUAUUACGGAGUAGUAUUCAUCUUUGGUGAUUUCCCUUUCCUAUCAUGAAAGGUUAGAACAAUAAUGACAAUGUAGUAAAAAAAAAAAUUCUUAAUAUUGUUAAGUUUGUUUAUAUGUGACCUCUUUACUAAAUUUGUAUUAAAGGGACAAACACAACACAUUAAUCUGCUUAAGGGAUAUACUUAAUGUAUAAUUUUUUUUUUUGUAAGAGUCUUUUACAACUCAUUAAGCGGAAAAAAUUAUUUAUUCAAUGUUAGGAGAGGAUGAACUUUAUAAAUUGUAAAGUGAUAAAAUCAUUUGUUACAUACCACGAGAGGAAAUAUGGCUGAAAUUGGCAAACUAGCUUGUGUUAUUAUCCUUCUUUUGCUAUUUCUUGUUGCAACAAACAUUGAAGCGAGGAAAAGCAGGAGAUGUUUUAGUGAUUCAGAUUGUAUGAACAUGUUUUGUCGACGUCCUAAGAUACAAAAGUGCAUGUAUCAAUCCCUAUGCAAAUGUGUUUUGCCAGUGUUCUAAAACGAUUAUUAUGUGCCAACAUGAUUCUAUUUCGUGUCAUACCAAAGAUAUAUUGUACACAAAAGCUCAAUAAUUUGAUCUUUUUUCUAAUUUCAAGAAUAUUGUAGUUAUGGAUUUAGUAUACUCUAAGAUGAUGGUAAUGUAAUGAAAUAAAGCACCAAUUAAUAUUAUUUAGAUUGUCUUCUUCUCUUUUAAA